AGUCAAGUGUAACGACUCCAUCAUAGAUGGCAAUACCUGUAACGAGUUUGUAAUUCGUGAACAAGUGCAAGGUGAAGAACCUUUGCCAUUUUACAGUAGUCUGAAACAGUGGCAGUUGUUCCGUUAAUUAGCCAGAUGUUUGCACUUGUUAAGUGGGACAGUAUUUGAUAAUCGUCAUCGGUUCACCUGAAACUUCACAAGAAUUCGAAAUUCUGGAGAUGUCUUGAGAAAUGGGACAGACAUCUAGCAGCCUUGGUCAAAACAGCAUACACAGACGAGCAAAAUUCAAAUACCGUGGGAGCUGUGGACACAUGAACAUUAUUUGUCGGAGGUCGAGCGGUUCUCGUCGGUUUAACUACGAUCUUAUAUCAACUAUGUACUAUUUUAGCAUUUCAAACACCAAAACACUUGUUACUGUGAAUGUAUGAUGAGUCUAUGCUGAAAAGUAGUGGACGGCAAAGCUUCAAAGUCAGUGUAAAAUUUAUUACAUUGAGGGGAAUAGAAAAUGCUAAUCUUACAAUAUUUCUAUUUAUUUCUUUUGGUAAUGUGAUCGCUGAGGUAUUCCUGGUGAAACUGAUAGAUGGAAUGCUUUCUGGUAUCCAACCGUAUUGACGUUUAAAUGUCAUGAAACUCGAAGUUUCAACGCAACCAUAUACCUGAAAUUGCGGUGAAAGAGGUCGGUGUCUAGUAUUAUGUGCUGUGGUGGCAUACUCAAGAAUAUGGAAAUCUUAUAAUUACUCACUGUGAUACAGUAUACUUCACAUAUCCCCAAACACUUGGAUUUGAUGAUGAGCUGACUUCGGUACCUGAUUAUGCCAUUCCUGAAAACUGCAAAAUUUAAAGCUUUGUUAGGUUUUUAGUAUUAAAUUACCACCGUGUCACAUCAGAAACAUCUUACAACAACGAAAACUAUUUGCUAACUCUUAAUCAACUAGUUAGUGAUUUUAUUUUCAGCCUCUGCGUCAGUAAUAGCCGAUUAUCUCUAAAAACGAAAUUUCGAAGAAGAGCUUAAAUUACUUUAUAAAACUCAUUUUUCCUUGCGUUUAAACAACAUGGGGCUGAUAAUUUAUAACGUUUAAAAUUUGUAGAAAUGUAUUUGUAUUUUGUGUGUUUCAUUCUAGAAAUAAAUGAAAUUCGAAUUGA